CAUUUAGCUCCUUACAGCAGCUUAUAACCUACCAAAAAUACAUACUUCUUUACAUUCCAUAGCUUUGUAUGUUCAUAUGGGUACAUAAAGAAGUAUGUUCUCUGAGUAGG
rnacentral:miRNA from 1 species